GCGCCGACGCUGUGCUGGUGCCAGGUUAUGACGUCACGUACGUCCUGGAAGACGACGACACGUCACCCCACUUCUGGGAAGUCGUCAAAAGGCACAAGGCGGACACCAUAAUACGGUUCUCCAAGUCAAAAGACCAGGACGCUGCCGGUGACCCUGGGGGCGACUGGCCCUCUCCCUCCGACGGCUGCGAAGUCCAGCGAACGCCGGACUCCGCGGACUCUGUGCUCCUGUUCCGUCCACCGCGCACGUCUUGGUUCUGGAUGCCGUGCUGCCGCCGCUGCGCCCGCG